AGCGUAGGCGGUCUGUUAAGUUAGGAGUGAAAUCCCGGGGCUCAACCCCGGAACUGCUCUUAAGACUGGCGGACUUGAGUAUGGGAGAGGAAAGUGGAAUUCCUAGUGUAGCGGUGGAAUGCGUAGAUAUUAGGAGGAACACCAGAGGCGAAGGCGACUUUCUGGACCACAACUGACGCUGAGGCUCGAAAGCGUGGGGAGCAAACAGGAUUAGAUACCCUGGUAGUCCACGCUGUAAACUAUGGUUACUAGAUGCAGGAGGUAUCGACUCCAUCUGUGUCGUCGCAAACGCAAUAAGUAACCCGCCUGGGGAGUACGGCCGCAAGGUUGAA
rnacentral:rRNA from 1 species